GAAUAUUAAGAGUAGCAGAAUACUUUUUCAGUUCUGUUUUAUACCUCUGUUGUUUUUACAAACCGUUCAUACUGUAAACGAGAGUCACAACUGUUUUUUAUAAGUUCACCAACUGUAUAACCGACAGGACUCACAAUCGUAGUCAAUAAAUCUGUGACGUGUGAACGGAUCCAUAUUAAGCGACAGUUGUCUACACGUCAUGCAAUGCGAGAGUAGCUCUUCGUUCCACAAAAUUGCGCGACUUUCAGUGUGACAUCUGGCAGGUGAUUUUGGAUCCCCUCGCUGUGUUCGCUGUGCUAGAGAUCCACUCGCCAGGCCUGCCGUGGUCUUUGCGUGACCCAAAUGCUGCGCUCUACACUCAGGCCCAUUUCACAUAACGCUGCCUCUGUAAUGUGACCGUGAUGAUUAAUCAGAUGGGGCAGAGAUGAGAGGCCGUGCCGGAGAGAGUGAUGGAUGGGACGGCUGGGCGAGCUUUAAAUGGA
ensembl:lncRNA